CUUUUGCAGGAGGGCGCCAUUGAACGAUUCAGGUUUGGGCCUGUUCCUAUGGUCUGUCACAAUGAGUUUCACCCUGGAGAAGACUCUCUCAACCUCUGAUGUCGAAAGGAUCACAGUAGCAUGGAUACUCAGGAGCUUCACAAUGUUUGGGUAGAGGUCUCCCAGUUGGGGCUUGAGGCUUGUCAGAGUCUUCAGGAUACUGGAUGGUGAUCAGGUGUCAACUUCGUCAGCAAAGAGUUCCUUGACCUGACUCCACUCAAGCUGUGUUUUAUCAACAUCCAGGCCAAAGUGCUCUGCCAGUUCUGUAAUCGGCAAAACUUGAAUAGUAUGUCAAUAUAUGAAAAUGUGACAUCCAACUUGUGUCCAAACCAUGGAUCCAUUUCGUCCUUUCAUAUUCCACUUAGUGCAAAGAGAAGAAGACAUCAUGGAGCUUGUUUCACCCUCCUCGUUUGCAUCCUCAAUGUAUUUUUAGCCAGGGGCGACCUUGUUUCCAUUUGGUAUCGAAGACAAGCUUGUGACCUGCAUCUUUCUUCUUCUGAGUUGUUUAAGGAGCUGGACCACUGGAUGACAUCCACUUGUAAAGGUCAUAGCAAACAAGUUCUGAAUCUUCUACAUCGGGUCUGAAAUACACAUACAAAUCAGUUUAUUUCCAGACAAAAUUUAUUGUAUUUUGUAAUUUGGUAAUAAGAAAACAGCCUUUGAAUAUUAAGAAAAUAAGAAUAGUAAAAAUACCUUGUACUAAUGAAAGUACUUUUUCACACACAGAAAAAAACAGUUCACACUUUUAUUACAUUUCAGUUGAGGAUAAAUUAGGUAAAAUAUCAGAUAAAUAUACACAAAAGUUUGGAACAAUUAUUUUUAAGUUUGAAAAUCUUUAAGACUAGAUAUGGAGACAGAUAAAAAUUGUCUUUGUUCAUUGCAGACACCUUAUCCACCACAAAAUCUACUAACUUCAAAUUAAGUAUAUAUAGAAAAAUUAAUUUAGUAUUUCUACCGAUAUUUUAGAAUAUGAAAAACUACAUGUAUGCAGUGCAAAAAAUAAACUUAGAUACGUUCAGAAAUAGACAUGUUUGAUGUGGCUUCGAUUCCUGUGUCUAUUUCGUGUGGAAUAAUUACUUCGGUAAUUCGUACAUUUACAAAGAGUAAAUAAAAUUUCAACAGAUAUACCCAGUGCAAAUAUUAACUAUAGCAAACAAGAGGGUUUUGUGUCUAUCUA